rfam:Rachicladosporium antarcticum strain CCFEE 5527 scaffold_5, whole genome shotgun sequence.
UCACCUGAUGAACAUCAAUAAUUUCGCUGUGUUCUUUCCGAGCCAACGCAUUGACGAUACAACCCAAUCACCUUGGAGAGCUGAAUA